UCGUAACACGAACCGGUGCUAAAGGGUCCUGCCCAACGGUUACUGGCAGGUGCUGUCGGGGCGGGGACCCUUUAGCACCGGUUCGUAUUACCAA
rfam:Sorghum bicolor cultivar BTx623 chromosome 3, whole genome shotgun sequence.